AUUCCCCCCUCCCCCUCCCCCAGAUCCGCUGCGGCCGAUGGCCGCCGCCGCCGCGGGGCCCCGCCGGUGGCGCCGCGAGGAGGAGGAGCAGCAGCCGCACCGCCUCUCGGCCGCCGCGGCGGCCGACGACCGCUUCGACGGCCUCCCCGACCCGCUGCUCCUCCUCAUCUUCAACCGCAUCGGCGACGUCAAGGCGCUCGGCCGCUGCGCGCUCGUCUCCCGCCGCUUCCACGCCCUCGUGCCCCUCGUCGACUCCGUGCUCGUCCGCGUCGACUGCGUCAUCCCCGACGACCCCGCCUCCUCCUCCCCGUCCUCCUCCGCGCCCUCCUCCCCCACCGCCUCCGCCUCCGCCCGCGCGCGCGGCGUCUUCUCCCAGAUCGCGCGCAUGCUCAUCGGCGGCAUCGUCAAGCCCAUCCAGGCGCUCGGCCAGAUCCUCUCCCACGCCGGCCCCGCCGCCGACUUCCCCGCCUCCGCCUCCCUCUCCUCCUUCCGCCGCUCCGCCGCCUCCUCGCUCUCCUCCUCCUCGGCGUCGGCGCCCCCCGGCGACGUCUCGCACCACUCGCCCUCCGAGGUGCUCCGCUCCUUCAGGGAGCUCCGCAGCCUGCGCAUCGAGCUCCCCGCCGGCGAGCUCGGCAUGGACGACGGCGUGCUGCUCAAGUGGAAGGCCGACUUCGGCUCCACGCUCGGCAGCUGCGUCAUCCUCGGCGCCGCCUCCGCCUCCGCCUCGCCGUCCUCUGCCGCCAAGGACGGCGCCACGGCCGCGCCUCCUCCUCCAACUGCUGAUUGCGCCGAGUCUGACGAUUCAGGGAGCAUACCGGAGUCCUUCUACACCAACGGGGGGCUUAAGCUGCGGGUGCUGUGGACCAUCAGCUCGUUGAUUGCCGCGUCGGCCCGGCAUUACCUGCUGCAGCCCAUCAUUUCCGACCACGCGUUGCUGGAGAGCCUGGAUCUGACGGACGCCGAUGGGCAGGGCGUGCUCACCAUGGACAAGUGGCAACUGCAGGAGCUACGGGUCAGGCCAGUAUCAGCGUCUGGUGACUCACACCGCACGCUCAUGCCGGCCCUUAGCAUGCGCUUGUGGUAUGCGCCACACAUUGAGCUGCCUGGGGGCACGGUCUUGAAUGGAGCAACACUGGUGGCCAUCAAGCCGAGCGAAGAGGCAAUGAUGGACGCAGUUGGGAAUGCAACUGCUGGCUCGGCAGGUGGAUCCUGGGUUUCAGAUGCCUUUGAGGAGCCAUAUCGGACGGCCGUCGGUGUGCUCCUCAAGCGGAGGAUGUAUAGCCUUGAGAUGAACUCAUUCUAAGCUAUGGAGGGAGUGCCAUUCCAGAAGUUUCAUCUGUGAGAGGUUUAUUCUGUUCUCUCACGAGAUGCAACUCGAAGCACAAUGUAUCUUAAGCAAUGGAGUUGAAGUUCUCUGGCUGCCUAUUUUACUCCAGCCUGCACCUACCUGAGAGACUCGGACAAGUAGUUACUAAUGUAUGAAUGUGGAGAAAAGCUGUGUGCAUCCUUCAGGCCCGUUCGGAACCUCUCAACUCAUCAAUGUUGGAGCUGCUAGACAAGUCAUCGUUGAGCCUGCUGGCAGCCGUCCCUCCAGGGAAGCCCUUGCCUAUGUUGGAUGUGGCGGUAUUACGGGUAGAUCUUCGUUGUAUGUAUGGAUCCUUGUGAAGCUGGUGCUAACACCAUGUCGAUUUUUCGCUUCGGAUUGUAGCUCUUUUUGGAAAGGAAGUUUGCAGCGUUCUGUAGCACGAGAUGUACAUGAGUAUCGGCAGGUUCGUUUCUAGUCUGAACGUGCAGACCUUUCGUAAAUGUUCGAAACAAGGGCUAAUGUAGUGGUACAAUGAUGUGUGUUGAGUGCUGAAGCA
rnacentral:rRNA from 1 species